rnacentral:tRNA from 2 species
GACUCCGUGGCGCAACGGAAGCGCGUCUUGACUCCAGAUCAGACAGGUUGCCUGUUCAAAUCACGUCGGAGUCC